GUGGGCUUACACCCCAUUGAUGAACAUGUGUGACGGACAGGUGAGUGGGCUUACACCCCAUUGAUGGAUAUGUGUGACGGACAGGUGAGUGGGCUUACACCCCAUUGAUGGAUAUGUGUGACGGACAGGUGAGUGGGCUUACACCCCAUU